CUAGGUCGUGGUGGCCUUGAGAAACGAACACCUCUGAGGAGUCUGCAAACCAUCGCGUGUCUCCCUAUCGGUGCACCGUCCAGGCCCUGAUGUCCUGCUGAGAUCGCCGACCGGUAGCCGUUAAUAGUGCGAUAGGCCAAACCUCGAUCGAACAAGGCUGUCAAGAAACGCAGGAUGCUGUUCAGAGGGGCACAAACGGGAUCCACUGAUUGUUCCAUGCACCAACCAUUCCAGAUGUCCCAUGCUCGACUGUAGGAUCUCCGAGUACCAGGCGCCCAG